UACGUAGGGGGCUAGCGUUGUCCGGAAUCAUUGGGCGUAAAGCGCGUGUAGGCGGUCCGGUAAGUCCGCUGUGAAAGUCGGGGGCUCAACCCUCGGAUGCCGGUGGAUACUGCCGGGCUUGAGUACGGAAGAGGCGAGUGGAAUUCCUGGUGUAGCGGUGAAAUGCGCAGAUAUCAGGAGGAACACCAAUUGCGAAGGCAGCUCGCUGGGACGUUACUGACGCUGAGACGCGAAAGCGUGG
rnacentral:rRNA from 1 species